CCGUUUUCUGUAUCUCACUUCCGCAAUGGUCCCCACCUUGCCUGGAGACCAAGCUUUCUUUGCAGGCCUCAUCAAGUGUGCUUGUGGCUUCAUCAAUAAAAUUUGGAAGCAAUUAAUUUGGAGGAGGAAAGAGUCUAAGUAAGAUGCCUAACAGAUCUUGGUGCGUUGACAACCUUGAAACUUGAUGUUAAUGGACAGGUACAAAGAUGAAGAUGAGCUGAACAGUCUUAGUGGUUGAAGCUGCUGCAUGUAAGAUAAGCAUGUUAAAUCCAUGCCAUGUAUACUGCAAAUCCCAAUCCUGUGCACAAAGCAGGCAUUGCUAAGAAGACCCUGCUGUAUUUAAAAAGCCUAGAUGCACUGAUAGAACCCUCAACACAGGACUCCAGCCAUGGACUACCAUUGGUUCAGAGCUGCCAGUCCAGUAGUAGCUUAUGCAUCACCUACGGUAGAGUGGAAACUCUCCUGCACACGCCAGUCACUCCAAGGGCACUUUAAUUAAAACCACACAAAAUUUUUGUAGAUAACAAUAAACUUGAUUAUGGAUAAAUCAUGAAAUCAAUAAAUAUAGA
rnacentral:lncRNA from 1 species